ACUUAUACGGCGAAACUGCGAAUAGCUCAUUACAACAGUUAUAAUUUACACGAAGAUCAUUACCUAAAUGGAUAUCCAUGGUAAUUCUGGAGCUAAUACAUGCAUUCAACACCCGACUUCAAGGAAAGGUGGCAUUCAUUAGUUGACAGAACCAUCCGGGUUGCAAGACUCGAACUUGGUGAUCAUAAUGACGGAGCGGAUCGCAUUUUUUGCGACAGUUCGUUCAAGUUUCUGACCUAUCAGCUCCCGUCGGUAAGGUAUUGGCUUACCGAGGCUGUGACGGGUAACGGGGAAUUGGGGUUCGAUUCCGGAGAGGGAGCCUGAGAAACGGCUACCACAUCUAAGGAUGGCAGCAGGCGCGCAAAUUACCCAAUCCCGAUACGGGGAGGUAGUGACCAGAAAUAGCAACUUGGGGCAUUUGCUUCAUGAUUGCAAUGGGCGGAAAGCAAAACUGUUUGCGAGUACCUAUUGGAGGGCAAGUCUGGUGCCAGCAGCCGCGGUAAUUCCAG
rnacentral:rRNA from 1 species